UUGGGGUGGCUCGAGUGGCGAACGGGUGAGUAACACGUGAGUAACCUGCCCUCGACUUUGGGAUAACUUCGGGAAACUGGGGCUAAUACCGGAUAGGAGCUCCUGCUGCAUGGUGGGGGUUGGAAAGUUUCGGCGGUUGGGGAUGGACUCGCGGCUUAUCAGCUUGUUGGUGGGGUAGUGGCUUACCAAGGCUUUGACGGGUAGCCGGCCUGAGAGGGUGACCGGCCACAUUGGGACUGAGAUACGGCCCAG
rnacentral:rRNA from 1 species